AGUGUUGGGGUGUUGCUGCCCCCACUCUAGUUUUUACCCCCUUUGCCCCCCAGGUUGGCUCCUGGAUCGGGUUUACCAUCAUGACGCAGUGUCUGCCUGUGGCUCUGUUCUCCCUGGUGGGCUUCGUGCAGAUGGCGAUAUGGGCACAGGGGAAGCACCGCAGCUACCUGCGGGAGUUCCGCGAUUACCCACCGCUGCGCUCCCCCAUCGUCCCCUUCCUGCUGUGAGGGGACACCGCCACCACCCCCCCCCCACCCCAGGGGACAGCCAGGGGGACGGCGGGACGACGGGGGGGCACCCGAGUGAUGGGGGAUGUCUGGGUGAUGGGGGACACCCAAGUGACAAAGGACACCUGAGCGACGGGGACGUUUGGGUGACAGGAGGCACUUGGGUGACAAAGGACACCUGGGUGACAAAGGACACCCUCGUGGCAAAGGACAUCUGGGUGACUGAGGACAUCAUCUGGGUGACAGGGGACAUUCGGGUGACAAAGGACAUCUGGGUGAUGGGGGAUGUCUGGGUGACGGGGAGCAGCUGGGUAACAAGCAACAGCUCGGUGACAAAAGACGUCUGGGUGACAAAAGGCCUUGGUGACAAAGGACACUUGGGUGACAAUGGGCCUUGGGAGACAAAGGACAUCUGGAUGACACCUUGGGGACAGCAGACCCCCCGCUGUGGUGGUGGAUGCAGUCAUGGCGUCCCCAUGCCACGCUGUCACCAACUGUCACACUGAGCCAGGUGUGACCCCGUGUCACCAUUCCACGGGGUCAAGAACGAUCGGUGUCACCCAUGAGGGACACGUUACUGUCCCGUGGGGUCAUACGUGACGCGUGUCACUCACGUGUGGCGUGUCACUGUCCUGUGGUGGCUGGCAAUGACCGCGUCCCCCGCGUGCGACCGUCGCUGUCCCCGCAGACAAGAAUAAAAGACGUCCCUUCCA